rnacentral:lncRNA from 1 species
CGCGAACCUGCCGGACCACCGCGCGGGGACGACGGCGGCCAUGAGCUCGCGGAAGCUGAGCGGGCCGAAAGGCAGGAGGCUCAGAUCUCCAGCUGCUGCAGGUACUCCUCAUCGUGUGCCUAGGACUCAUGCUAGGCUGUUCCUGGUCUCUGCAGGGUCUGUAGCUCCUGCCCGCUCUGUGCUCCGCACAGUCUGAGGCUUCUUGAAGAGCUGCUGUGACUGACUGUUCCACUAAAGACAUCUCAUACACGUCGUGACUUGGAACGUGGCUUCGGCAGCGCCCCCUCUAGAUCUCAGUGACCUGCUUCAGCUGAACAACCGGAACCUCAAUCUUGACAUAUAUGUUAUUGGGUCUCCCAUGUCCGUAUGCAGGGGAUCCUCUUACUGGUCUUUGCCAAGUAUCAGCAUUUGCCCUAUAUCCAGAUUCUGUCUACUAAAUCCACCCCCACUGGCCUGUUUGGGUACUGGGGGAACAAAGGUGGAGUCAACAUCUGCCUGAAGCUUUAUGGCUACUAUGUCAGCAUCAUCAACUGCCACCUGCCUCCCCACAUUUCCAACAAUUACCAGCGGCU